rnacentral:rRNA from 1 species
GAUGAACGCUGGCGGCGUGCCUAAUACAUGCAAGUCGAGCGAACAGACGAGGAGCUUGCUCCUCUGACGUUAGCGGCGGACGGGUGAGUAACACGUGGAUAACCUACCUAUAAGACUGGGAUAACUUCGGGAAACCGGAGCUAAUACCGGAUAACAUGAUGAACCGCAUGGUUCAACAGUGAAAGACGGUCUUGCUGUCACUUAUAGAUGGAUCCGCGCCGCAUUAGCUAGUUGGUAAGGUAACGGCUUACCAAGGCAACGAUGCGUAGCCGACCUGAGAGGAUGAUCGGCCACACUGGAACUGAGACACGGUCCAGACUCCUACGGGAGGCAGCAGUAGGGAAUCUUCCGCAAUGGGCGAAAGCCUGACGGAGCAACGCCGCGUGAGUGAUGAAGGUCUUCGGAUCGUAAAACUCUGUUAUUAGGGAAGAACAAAUGUGUAAGUAACUAUGCACGUCUUGACGGUACCUAAUCAGAAAGCCACGGCUAACUACGUG